UUAACUCAAUUUUGUAUGGAGUAGGAACAGCGCCCCUAGCGGCAAACGUAGGCAAACGUUCCGACUCCAUACAAAUUUGAGUUA
rfam:Bombyx mori DNA, contig: Bm_scaf35_contig21224, strain: p50T/Dazao, build 2, whole genome shotgun sequence.